rnacentral:lncRNA from 1 species
ACACAAGGGUGUGGAAUCAAUGCUUCAAGCUAUCAUAGAUUGGGUUACUACAAUAGGUGUGGAUAUAUAUCUCUUGCAUCAAUUCAUGGCGGCAUUUGGAAAGGAAUGUGGAAAAAGAGCCUAGUGAAAAUGUCAAUAUCUAAAGUUCCAUGGGUAUGUAUGGUUCUCCAAUUUAAGUAGUUGAAGGUGGGAGUUUAGUCAUG